rnacentral:rRNA from 1 species
GACGAACGCUGGCGGCGUGCUUAACACAUGCAAGUCGAACGGUAAGGCCCUUUCGGGGGUACACGAGUGGCGAACGGGUGAGUAACACGUGGGUGAUCUGCCCUGCACUUUGGGAUAAGCCUGGGAAACUGGGUCUAAUACCGGAUAGGACUACGCGAUGCAUGUCGUGUGGUGGAAAGCUUUUGCGGUGUGGGAUGGGCCCGCGGCCUAUCAGCUUGUUGGUGGGGUGAUGGCCUACCAAGGCGACGACGGGUAGCCGGCCUGAGAGGGUGUCCGGCCACACUGGGACUGAGAUACGGCCCAGACGCCUACGGGAGGCAGCAGUGGGGAAUAUUGCACAAUGGGCGCAAGCCUGAUGCAGCGACGCCGCGUGGGGGAUGACGGCCUUCGGGUUGUAAACCCCUUUCAGCACAGACGAAGCGUAAGUGACGGUAUGUGCAGAAGAAGCACCGGCCAACUACGUG